rnacentral:rRNA from 1 species
UACGUAGGGCGCAAGCGUUAUCCGGAAUUAUUGGGCGUAAAGCGCUCGUAGGCGGUUUGUCGCGUCUGCCGUGAAAGUCCGGGGCUCAACUCCGGAUCUGCGGUGGGUACGGGCAGACUAGAGUGAUGUAGGGGAGACUGGAAUUCCUGGUGUAGCGGUGAAAUGCGCAGAUAUCAGGAGGAACACCGAUGGCGAAGGCAGGUCUCUGGGCCAUUACUGACACUGAGAAGCGAAAGCAUGGGGAGCGAACAGG